rnacentral:lncRNA from 1 species
AUCUACCACACGGAUAAAGAUCCGAUGUAACAGCAACUAAAGAAUUAAGAAACCCGGAGAUCUCUCAGGCUAGCACCAUCAAAGAAAACAAGUCAGCAAAGCAAUUAGAAUAAAUCUCCAAAUUGUAUCCCACAAAUAAAGUGGAAUACCAAGCAAGCUAUCUCUUCAAGAGUCAUGUGAGCCCUCACAAAAACUCAACAAACAUGUUAGAAUGACAAGAUGGG